rnacentral:rRNA from 1 species
GUGGGGAAUAUUGGACAAUGGGCGAAAGCCUGAUCCAGCAAUGCCGCGUGAGUGAUGAAGGCCCUAGGGUUGUAAAGCUCUUUUACCCGGGAUGAUAAUGACAGUACCGGGAGAAUAAGCUCCGGCUAACUUCGUGCCAGCAGCCGCGGUAAUACGAGGGGAGCUAGCGUUGUUCGGAAUUACUGGGCGUAAAGCGCGCGUAGGCGGUUUUUUAAGUCAGAGGUGAAAGCCCGGGGCUCAACCCCGGAAUUGCCUUUGAAACUGGAAAACUAGAAUCUUGGAGAGGUCAGUGGAAUUCCGAGUGUAGAGGUGAAAUUCGUAGAUAUUCGGAAGAACACCAGUGGCGAAGGCGACUGACUGGACAAGUAUUGACGCUGAGGUGCGAAAGCGUGGGGAGCAAACAGGAUUAGAAACCCGGGUAGUCC